AUUGAACGCUGGCGGCAGGCUUAACACAUGCAAGUCGAGCGAGCGGCGGACGGGUGAGUAAUGCCUGGGAAACUGGCUUAUGGAGGGGGAUAACUACUGGAAACGGUAGCUAAUACCGCAUACCAUCAGAUGUGCCCAGAUGGGAUUAGUUAGUGGGUGGGGUAAUGGCACACCAAGGCGACGAUCCCUAGCUGGUCUGAGAGGAUGACCAGCCACACCGGAACUGAGACACGGUCCGGAAUCCUACGGGAGGCAGCAGUGGGGAAUAUGGCGCAAUGGGCGCAACCCUGACGCGGCCAUGCCGAGUGUGUGAAGAAGGCCUGCGGGUUGUAAAGCACUUUCGGCGAGGAGGCGUUACUCGCAGAAGAAGCACCGGCUAACUCCGUGCCAGCAGCCGCGGUAAUAC
rnacentral:rRNA from 1 species